AAUAUCGGACAAUGGGGGCAACCCUGAUCCAGCCAUGCCGCGCGGGUGAAGAAGGUCUUCGGAUUUUAAAGCACUAUAAGUUGGUAGGAAGGGCUGUAGGCUAAUACCCUGAAGUAUUGACGGUACCAACAGUAGAAGCACCGGUUAACUCGGUGCCAGCAGCUGCGGUAAUGCAGAGGGUGCAAGCGUUCAUCGGAAUUACUUGGCGUAAAGCGCGCGUAGGUGGUUCAGUAAGAUGGGUGUGAAAUCCCCGGGCUUAACCUGGGAACUGCUUUCAUAACUGCUGAGCUAGAGUACGGUAGAGGGUAGUGGAAUUUCCUGUGUAGCGGUGAAAUGCGUAGAUAUAGGAAGGAACACCAGUGGCGAAGGCGACUACCUGGACUGAUACUGACACUGAGGUGCGAAAGCGUGGGGAGCAAAC
rnacentral:rRNA from 1 species